UACGUAGGGUGCAAGCGUUGUCCGGAAUUAUUGGGCGUAAAGAGCUCGUAGGCGGUCUGUCGCGUCGGCUGUGAAAUCCCGAGGCUCAACCUCGGGUCUGCAGUCGAUACGGGCAAACUAGAGUAUUGCAGGGGAGACUGGAAUUCCUGGUGUAGCGGUGAAAUGCGCAGAUAUCAGGAGGAACACCGGUGGGGAAGGCGGGUCUCUGGGCAAUAACUGACGCUGAGGAGCGAAAGCGUGGGGAGCGAACAGG
rnacentral:rRNA from 1 species